UAGUGACAGAAUGAGGGAGAGAGUGACUAGUGACAGAGGGAGGGAGAUGGUGACUAGUGACAGAGUGAGGGAGGUGGUGACUGUCACUAGUCACCCCAUCCCUCCCUCUGUCACUAGUCACUCCCUCCCUAACUCUGUCAUU